rnacentral:rRNA from 1 species
AUUCCAGCUCCAAUAGCGUAUAUUAAUGUUGUUGCAGUUAAAAAGCUCGUAGUUGAAUUUCUGGAAUGAACUUUCGGUCCGAGGCCUUGUGUCUUGCGUACUGUUUCUGUUCAUCCCAUCUUAGUAGUGAGUGUUACUGGCAUUCGGUUGUCGGUUGCAGGAGCUGCUUCGUUUACUGUGAAUAAAAUAGAGUGUUUAAAGCAGGCAUUACGCCUUGAAUACUUCAGCAUGGAAUAAAAUUAUAGGACUUAGGUGCUAUUUUAUUGGUUUGCACACCUAGUAAUGAUUAAUAGGGAUAGUUGGGGGUAUUCAUAUUUGAUUGUCAGAGGUGAAAUUCUUGGAUUUAUGAAAGAUGAACUUAUGCGAAAGCAUUUACCAAGGAUGUUUUCAUUG